rnacentral:rRNA from 1 species
AGUGAACGCUGGCGGUAGGCCUAACACAUGCAAGUCGAACGGCAGCACAGUAAGAGCUUGCUCUUACGGGUGGCGAGUGGCGGACGGGUGAGGAAUACAUCGGAAUCUACUUUUUCGUGGGGGAUAACGUAGGGAAACUUACGCUAAUACCGCAUACGACCUACGGGUGAAAGCAGGGGAUCUUCGGACCUUGCGCGAUUGAAUGAGCCGAUGUCGGAUUAGCUAGUUGGCGGGGUAAAGGCCCACCAAGGCGACGAUCCGUAGCUGGUCGGAGAGGAUGAUGAGCCACACUGGAACUGAGACACGGUCCAGACUCCUACGGGAGGCAGCAGUGGGGAAUAUUGGACAAUGGGGGCAAGCCUGAUGCAGCCAUACCGCGUGGGUGAAGAAGGCCUUCGGGUUGUAAAGCCCUUUUGUUGGGAAAGAAAAGCAGCAGGUUAAUACCCCGCUGUUCUGACGGUACCCAAAGAAUAAGCACCGGCUAACUUCGUG